AUUGAACGCUGGCGGCAGGCCUAACACAUGCAAGUCGAACGAGUGGCGGACGGGUGAGUAAUGUCUGGGAAACUGCCUGAUGGAGGGGGAUAACUACUGGAAACGGUAGCUAAUACCUCAUACCCUAGGAUGAGCCCAAGUGGGAUUAGGUAGUUGGUGAGGUAAAGGCUCACCAAGCCGACGAGCUCUACCUGGUCUGAGAGGAUGACCAGCCACACUGGGACUGAGACACGGCCCAGACUCCUACGGGAGGCAGCAGUGGGGAAUAUUGCGCAAUGGGGGCAACACUGACGCAGCCAUGCCGAGUGAAUGAAGAAGGCCUUCGGGUUGUAAAGUUCUUUCGGUAGCGAGGCGUUAACUACAGAAGAAGCACCGGCUAACUCCGUGCCAGCAGCCGCGGUAAUUC
rnacentral:rRNA from 1 species